CGCGUAGGCGGUCCGCUAAGUUAGAUGUGAAAACUCUGGGCUCAACCCAGAGCCUGCAUCUAAUACUGACGGGCUAGAGUUCUGGAGGGGGUAGCGGAAUUCCUGGUGUAGCGGUGAAAUGCGUAGAUAUCAGGAGGAACACCGGUGGCGAAGGCGGCUACCUGGACAGAAACUGACGCUGAGGCGCGAAAGCUAGGGGAGCAAACA
rnacentral:rRNA from 1 species